rnacentral:rRNA from 1 species
UGGCUAACUCCUACGGGAGGCAGCAGUGGGGAAUAUUGCACAAUGGGCGAAAGCCUGAUGCAGCAACGCCGCGUGCGGGAUGACGGCCUUCGGGUUGUAAACCGCUUUCAGCUCCGACGAAGCGCAAGUGACGGUAGGAGCAGAAGAAGGACCGGCCAACUACGUGCCAGCAGCCGCGGUGAUACGUAGGGUCCGAGCGUUGUCCGGAAUUAUUGGGCGUAAAGGGCUUGUAGGCGGUUUGUCACGUCGGAAGUGAAAACUCAGGGCUUAACCCUGAGCCUGCUUCCGAUACGGGCAAACUAGAGGGAUGCAGGGGAGAAUGGAAUUCCUGGUGGAGCGGUGGGAUGCGCAGAUAUCAGGAGGAACACCAGUGGCGAAGGCGGUUCUCUGGGCGUUUCCUGACGCUGAGAAGCGAAAGCGUGGGGAGCAAACAGGAUUAGAUACCCCGGUAGUCCAGCUGG